AUAUAUAAACUAGGCAAACCUUUGCUAUUUUGUUAUUAUACGUCUUUCCUUAUCAAGAAGCAACAUGAAGAUUCUUUUCACAUUACUUUUAGUUUGUGUAGUUAAUGGAAGAGGCAACAGAAAAACUUUCCCAAAUUCUUAGUUUGUGGACUCAAUCAAUUGUGUGGAAGGUCAAAAUUACAGAAUUGUAAGCUCUGGAAAUUGUUAGAUUAGACAGAAAGCAAAUUCUACAAAAAUUACAGAUUCCAAAUAACAGAUAUCUAAUACAAGAAGUUAGCUACAUUAAUUUGGAUUUACGAACUUUUUACAACAAACUUAUUACAUAUGCAAUA